rnacentral:rRNA from 1 species
AUUGAACGCUGGCGGCAGGCCUAACACAUGCAAGUCGAGCGGAGCGGCGGACGGGUGAGUAAUGCCUAUGAAUCUGCCUGGUAGUGGGGGAUAACGUCCGGAACCGGGCGCUAAUACCGCAUACUAUCAGAUGAGCCUAGGUCGGAUUAGCUCGUUGGUGGGGUAAAGGCCUACCAAGGCGACGAUCCUGAGCUGGUCUGAGAGGAUGAUCAGUCACACUGGAAGUGAGACACGGUCCAGACUCUUACGGGAGUCAGCAGGGGGGAAUAGUGGACAAUGGGCGAAAGCCUGAGCCAGCCAUGCCGGGUGUGUGAAGAAGGUCUUCGGAUUGUAAAGCACUUUAAGUUGGGAGGCGUUACCAACAGAAUAAGCACCGGCUAAAUUCGUGCCAGCAGCCGCGGUAAUAC